GGCUGGAUGGCCGAGCGGUCUAAGGCGCUAGACUCAAGUUCUAGUAUCGAAAGAUGCGUGGGUUCGAAUCCCACUCCAGUCA
rnacentral:tRNA from 4 species